GAUGAAGAACGCAGCGAAAUGCGAUAAGUAGUGUGAAUUGCAGAAUUCAGCGAAUCAUCGAAUCUUUGAACGCACAUUGCGCCCUUUGGUAUUCCUUAGGGCAUGUCUGUUCGAGCGUCAUUUAAACCUUCAAGCUAAGCUUGGUGUUGGGUGACUGUCCGCUUCACUGCGGACUCGCCUCAAAAUUAUUGGCGGCCGGUACAUUGGCUUCGAGCGCAGCAGAAACGCGAACUCGGGCCCGUCGUAUUGGCUCCCAGAAGCUAUCUUCACAAUUUUGACCUCGGAUCAGGUAGGGAUACCCGCUGAACUUAAGCAUAUCAAUAAGCGGAGGA
rnacentral:misc_RNA from 1 species